UACGGAGGGUGCAAGCGUUAUCCGGAUUUAUUGGGUUUAAAGGGUCCGUAGGCGGAUCUGUAAGUCAGUGGUGAAAUCUCACAGCUUAACUGUGAAACUGCCAUUGAUACUGCAGGUCUUGAGUAAGGUAGAAGUAGCUGGAAUAAGUAGUGUAGCGGUGAAAUGCAUAGAUAUUACUUAGAACACCAAUUGCGAAGGCAGGUUACUAUGUCUUAACUGACGCUGAUGGACGAAAGCGUGGGGAGCGAACAGGAUUAGAUACCCUGGUAGUCCACGCCGUAAACGAUGCUAACUCGUUUUUGGGUCUUCGGAUUCAGAGACUAAGCGAAAGUGAUAAGUUAGCCACCUGGGGAGUACGUUCGCAAGAAUGAA
rnacentral:rRNA from 1 species